GACGAACGCUGGCGGCGUGCUUAACACAUGCAAGUCGAACGAUGAAGCUGGAGCUUGCUCCGGUGGAUUAGUGGCGAACGGGUGAGUAACACGUGAGCAAUCUGCCCUUCACUCUGGGAUAACUGCGGGAAACUGUAGCUAAUACCGGAUACGAGACCUUGGGGCAUCCCAGGGUCUGGAAAGAAUUUCGGUGAAGGACGAGCUCGCGGCCUAUCAGCUAGUUGGUGAGGUAAUGGCUCACCAAGGCGACGACGGGUAGCCGGCCUGAGAGGGUGACCGGCCACACUGGGACUGAGACACGGCCCAGACUCCUACGGGAGGCAGCAGCGGGGAAUAUUGCACGAUGGGCGAAAGCCUGACGCAGCAACGCCGCGUGAGGGAUGAAGGCCUUCGGGUUGUAAACCUCUUUUAGUAGGGAAGAAGCGCAAGUGACGGUACCUACAGAAAAAGCACCGGCUAACUACGUGCCAGCCGCCGCCGUAA
rnacentral:rRNA from 1 species